rnacentral:rRNA from 1 species
ACGUUAGCGGCGGACGGGUGAGUAACACGUGGGUAACCUACCUAUAAGACUGGGAUAACUUCGGGAAACCGGAGCUAAUACCGGAUAAUAUUUCGAACCGCAUGGUUCGAUAGUGAAAGAUGGUUUUGCUAUCACUUAUAGAUGGACCCGCGCCGUAUUAGCUAGUUGGUAAGGUAACGGCUUACCAAGGCGACGAUACGUAGCCGACCUGAGAGGGUGAUCGGCCACACGUGGAACUGAGACACGGUCCAGACUCCUACGGGAGGCAGCAGGG